rnacentral:rRNA from 1 species
UGCCUAAUACAUGCAAGUCGUACGCUUCUUUUUCCACCGGAGCUUGCUCCACCGGAAAAAGAAGAGUGGCGAACGGGUGAGUAACACGUGGGUAACCUGCCCAUCAGAAGGGGAUAACACUUGGAAACAGGUGCUAAUACCGUAUAACAAUCGAAACCGCAUGGUUUUGAUUUGAAAGGCGCUUUCGGGUGUCGCUGAUGGAUGGACCCGCGGUGCAUUAGCUAGUUGGUGAGGUAACGGCUCACCAAGGCCACGAUGCAUAGCCGACCUGAGAGGGUGAUCGGCCACAUUGGGACUGAGACACGGCCCAAACUCCUACGGGAGGCAGCAGUAGGGAAUCUUCGGCAAUGGACGAAAGUCUGACCGAGCAACGCCGCGUGAGUGAAGAAGGUUUUCGGAUCGUAAAACUCUGUUGUUAGAGAAGAAUAAGGAUGAGAGUAACUGUUCAUCCCUUGACGGUAUCUAACCAGAAAGCCACGGCUAACUACGUGCCAGCAGCCGCGGUAAUACGUAGGUGGCAAGCGUUGUCCGGAUUUAUUGGGCGUAAAGCGAGCGCAGGCGGUUUCUUAAGUCUGAUGUGAAAGCCCCCGGCUCAACCGGGGAGGGUCAUUGGAAACUGGGAGACUUGAGUGCAGAAGAGGAGAGUGGAAUUCCAUGUGUAGCGGUGAAAUGCGUAGAUAUAUGGAGGAACACCAGUGGCGAAGGCGGCUCUCUGGUCUGUAACUGACGCUGAGGCUCGAAAGCGUGGGGAGCAAACAGGAUUAGAUACCCUGGUAGUCCACGCCGUAAACGAUGAGUGCUAAGUGUUGGAGGGUUUCCGCCCUUCAGUGCUGCAGCUAACGCAUUAAGCACUCCGCCUGGGGAGUACGACCGCAAGGUUGAAACUCAAAGGAAUUGACGGGGGCCCGCACAAGCGGUGGAGCAUGUGGUUUAAUUCGAAGCAACGCGAAGAACCUUACCAGGUCUUGACAUCCUUUGACCACUCUAGAGAUAGAGCUUCCCCUUCGGGGGCAAAGUGACAGGUGGUGCAUGGUUGUCGUCAGCUCGUGUCGUGAGAUGUUGGGUUAAGUCCCGCAACGAGCGCAACCCUUAUUGUUAGUUGCCAUCAUUCAGUUGGGCACUCUAGCAAGACUGCCGGUGACAAACCGGAGGAAGGUGGGGAUGACGUCAAAUCAUCAUGCCCCUUAUGACCUGGGCUACACACGUGCUACAAUGGGAAGUACAACGAGUCGCGAAGUCGCGAGGCUAAGCUAAUCUCUUAAAGCUUCUCUCAGUUCGGAUUGUAGGCUGCAACUCGCCUACAUGAAGCCGGAAUCGCUAGUAAUCGCGGAUCAGCACGCCGCGGUGAAUACGUUCCCGGGCCUUGUACACACCGCCCGUCACACCACGAGAGUUUGUAACACCCGAAGUCGGUGAGGUAACCUUUUGGAGCCAGCCGCCUAAGGUGGGAUAGAUGAUUGGG